rnacentral:rRNA from 1 species
UACGUAGGGUGCAAGCGUUAAUCGGAAUUACUGGGCGUAAAGCGUGCGCAGGCGGUUAUGUAAGACAGAGGUGAAAUCCCGGGCUCAACCUGGGAACUGCCUUUGUGACUGCAUAGCUAGAGUACGGUAGAGGGGAUGGAAUUCCGCGUGUAGCAGUGAAAUGCGUAGAUAUGCGGAGGAACACCAAUGGCGAAGGCAGCCCCCUGGGAUAAGUAUUGACGGCUCAUGCAACGAAAGCGUGGGAGCAAACAGG